AGGGUUUUUGAAAGGUUUUGGAGGAGCCAAAGCUAAUAGGAAGGUCCAAACCUUAAGCAAGAACACCAAAGAGUAUUGGCUAAGCGUAACUGGACUGAACGUUGGAGGGUGAAAACUUGCUGAGCGCUAAGGACUCCAAGUAAAAGCAAGGGCAAGGCAGAGCAGUGAGCGCUGGAGUCUUCCUUGCAAAUGUACAUGUGGACCGACCUUUUGGGAAGCCUUUUUAUUUUUGG